rnacentral:tRNA from 1 species
GUCCAGGGUAGCUGAGUGGACAAGGCACCUGCCCGGUAAGCAGAAGGGUGUGGGUUCGAUUCCCGUCCCUGUACA